UCCGUAAGAUGGUAGCUUCGUGAAAGAG
rnacentral:sRNA from 1 species